GACGAACGCUGGCGGCAUGCUUAACACAUGCAAGUCGAACGGAAAGACCCUGCUUUUGUGGUGUGCUCGAGUGGCGAACGGGUAAGUAACACGUGAGUAACCUGCCCUUGACUUUGGGAUAACUUCAGGAAACUGGGGCUAAUACCGGAUAGGAGCUCCUGCUGCAUGGUGGGGGUUGGAAAGUUUCGGCGGUUGGGGAUGGACUCGCGGCUUAUCAGCUUGUUGGUGGGGUAGUUGCUUACCAAGGCUUUGACGGGUAGCCGGCCUGAGAGGGUGACCGGCGACAGUGGUACUGAGAGACGGAGCAGAGUGCUAUGGGAGGCAGCAGUGGGGAAUAUUGCACAAUGGUAGGAAGCCUGAUGCAGAAGCGCUGCGUGCGUGAUGACGGCCUUCGGGUUGUAAACAGCUUUAGCCUGUGACGAAGCGUGAGUGACGGUAAUGGGUAAAGAAGCACCGGCUAACUACGUG
rnacentral:rRNA from 1 species